rnacentral:rRNA from 1 species
UAACGCGUGGGGAACCUACCCUAUACAGGGGGAGUAACAGCUGGAAACGGCUGCUAAUACCGCAUAAGCGCACAGAAUCGCAUGAUUCAGUGUGAAAAGCCCUGGCAGUAUAGGAUGGUCCCGCGUCUGAUUAGCUGGUUGGUGAGGUAACGGCUCACCAAGGCGACGAUCAGUAGCCGGCUUGAGAGAGUGAACGGCCACAUUGGGACUGAGACACGGCCCAA